UACGUAGGGGGCGAGCGUUAUCCGGAUUCACUGGGCGUAAAGGGAGCGCAGGCGGCACGGCAAGUCCGGUGUGAAAGCCCGGGGCCCAACCCCGGGACUGCACUGGAAACUGCCGGGCUGGAGUGUCGGAGGGGCAGGCGGAAUUCCUAGUGUAGCGGUGAAAUGCGUAGAUAUUAGGAGGAACACCAGUGGCGAAGGCGGCCUGCUGGACGACAACUGACGCUGAGGCGCGAAAGCGUGGGGAGCAAACAGG
rnacentral:rRNA from 1 species